rnacentral:rRNA from 1 species
AUUGAACGCUGGCGGCAGGCUUAACACAUGCAAGUCGAACGAGUGGCGUACGGGUGAGUAAUGCUUGGGAAUCUAGCUUAUGGAGGGGGAUAACUACGGGAAACUGUAGCUAAUACCGCGUACCUAAGGAUGAGCCCAAUUGGGUUUAGUUAGUUGGUGAGGUAAAGGCUGACCAAGCCGACGAACUCUAGCUGGUCUGAGAGGAUGACCAGCAACACUGGAACUGAGACACGGCCCAGACUCCUACGGGAGGCAGCAGUGGGGAAUAUUGCACAAUGGGGGCAACCUGACGCAGCCAUGCCGCGUGAAUGAAGAAGGCCUUCGGGUUGUAAAGUUCUUUCGGUAGCGAGGCGUUAACUACAGAAGAAGCACCGGCUAACUCCGUGCCAGAAGCCGCGGUAAUAC